AUGAUAAACUGUAGGAAGUAAUGUUUUAUUUCAGAUUCUUUUACACUGCUUCAAAUUCUAUUUUGAAAUGACCGUGUUGAUACCCCAAACACGGAAGAAUUCAACAGAGUGUGUCAAUGGCCAAUGUAGACAAAGUAUGUUUGGACUACAAACCCCAAUAUCUAAUUGUCGACGACGUAAUGACCUAGAUGAUUUUGAUGGUAUAAGAAGUAUUUUAUCACACAGCAGCGUUCAAGAUCACUGGACUCAAUAUGUGCAGGCAGACGGUAGUUUGUUCUAUGUUCUAGUCAAGGAAUCGUGUAGCCGAGGAAAGCACAAAACGACCCGAUGCUAUUAUCAUUCAGACACAGAACAUGACACAGAAAUUACUUUUUGCCCUUCGGAAAAACUUUCUUCGGACGUUCAGGAUGAAAUGAACAAUCAUAAAGCAAGACUUGUUGAAGACAAUAGUCGUUAUGAUCCUACAAGAACUCAUACUUGUCAUGGCUAUGAAACGACAAAUUCCAUAAAAUCUAGUCAUGACCUAUAUACCGAUGUGUUUUUAGACAAACGAGAACAACAUAUUCUAUGUUCGAAAGGACGAUGUUAUUGUCGUCAUACAAACGACAUAGACUACAAACAUGAUAUUAACAACAACAAAGCAACAAACGAACAUUCAUCAGACCAUGAUUGUGAUAGUGGUAUACAUAGUGAUUCUGACAGGUCAUCUGUAGACAGUGCAACGUCAAAUAAUGAGAAAACUGCUACAAAACCUAGAAAACUACACUUUUCUCAUAUGAUCAGUUUUAACAGAUUGAGAUCUAGAUUUCGACUAGAAAAAUAAUAAUGAGAAGCGAAACAAUUUCAGCUUUUCCUGUUGAUUAAGUAUGAAAGCAUUGUUAUUUGCUAUGAUAAUUUAACAUUGUCAUAAAAUUUAAAAAGUAUAACAAAGCUUGAAUUAUUAAAUUUCGACCAGCUGUAUUAGCUUAUGUCAGGGAAUGUCUAUAGAGAACAUAACCCGUCAAAAAAUGAUAAAUACGGAUAUUUCAUUAAGUAUCAACUCAUUUCAAGUAUUUUCAUAUUUCUGAAAUCUUUCAAGAUUAUUUCUUUUUGCCUUUUACUGCAUAGCAUUGUUUAUAUUUUGUUUUCUAUAUUUGGUUGAUCAUGGAUAAAUGUAAUAUUCACUGGUGUGGAUAGAGUCUUA